rnacentral:rRNA from 1 species
UACGAAGGGUGCAAACGUUGCUCGGAAUUAUUGGGCGUAAAGCGCACGUAGGCGGCAUUGCAAGUCGGAUGUGAAAUCCCUCGGCUUAACCAAGGAAGUGCAUCCGAAACUGCUGUGCUUGAGUACUUAAGAGGAUCGCGGAAUUCCCGGUGUAGAGGUGAAAUGCGUAGAUAUCGGAAGGAACACCUGUGGCGAAAGCGGCGCACUGGACCAAAACUGACGCUGAGGCGCGAAAGCUAGGGGAGCAAACAGG